UUUAUAUUAUAAUGAACAGUUUAUUUAAAGAUGAGUUUUCCUAUUUCACAUGGAGUUUUCACACCGGGAUAUUUCCCGGUGGGCCGUCAGCAAUACAACAUUUUAAAAUUUUAUAAUAUUUUAAAAAGUAUUUUCUUUAAUUUUUUUAAUAACUUUCUAGAAUAGUAAUAAAAAAUUGUGAGUUGAAAUACGAUUUGAAAUAUUGAUUUCUGCGUGUCAGUUGCUUCAUUUGACUGUAUGAUGUGUGUGUAGUUGGUUAAACCGAAACGCAAUCGUCAUUAUUCAAAAUUCGUAGUGAGCGUGGCUGAAUCAGCUGAGCCGGUAUUAAUUAUUGGAAUGAAGAAAGUGAAAAGUGGUGCAGCUAAGAGAAGAGAAGCAGCUGCAGCCAGGGAAGUAAUAACUAAGUACCCCAAACUUACACAAUUUUUGAAACCAGCAGUUCAAGCUGAUGGUGAAUCAGUAGCAAUAACAGAAACCAAUAAUGAUGUUACAGCCAAUGCAGAAAAUGAUUCUGUUUCUUGUUUUGGUUUGUCUGCUGAAGGAGACUCUAAUAUGGCAAUCUGUGAGUGUAUACCAACUGCCACAACACUGCCACUUCUUUUUCUCAGUGAUGAUCCUUCUGAUUGGCCAGAAAAUGUUUCUGAUGCACAGAGGUGUGACAUUGUUGAACGUGAUGUAAAGCAAAUUGAGAUAGAUUUUCCACACAAUCAAGAAAGACGACGAUUUUCAGUGACUUAUUAUAAACGACAGAUGAAGAAUGGAGAAACUAUUGUACGGUCAUGGCUAUAUAUGAACUAAAUAUGAAGUGCUGAACGUAGCUUCAGCAAGCUAAAAUUGAUUAAGACUUUUCAUAGGUCAACAAUGGUUGAUGACCGCUUGUCUUCUCUGGCGAUGCUGUCAAUUGAGAACGAUGUGGCAAGAAAAUUAAAUUAUGAGGAGAUAAUCAACAAAUUUGCAAGUAUGAAAGUUCGCCACAAGUCAUUUCUGUGACAAUUGUGAAUAUGUGAUUUAUUACAGGUUUUGAAGUAUUACCAAUAUAAUAUAACAAACAUUAUUCUGAUAAUUAUCCGUACAUAUACGUUUGUCUAUACUUAUAUGUCUUAUUUUUGAUGUUUUUAGCCUUUAGAAAAAAUGUGACACAUAUAUAUCCUGUAAUGUGAUGCCACAAAAUUAGGGCCCAAAAAAAUGAUUUGGGGGGGGCCCAAAUGUACCACGCCACG